rnacentral:rRNA from 1 species
GGACUACCCGGGUAUCUAAUCCUGUUUGAUCCCCUUGCUUUCGCGCCUCAGCGUCAGGAAUAAGAUAGAAAACCGCCUUCGCCACCGGUGUUCUUCCACAUAUCUACGCAUUUCACCGCUACUUGUGGAAUUCCAUUUUCUCCUCCUACCCUCUAGAAAAACAGUCUCAAAUGCAGCACCGAAGUUGAGCCCCGGUAUUUCACAUCUGACUUGAUUUUCCGCCUACGCGCCCUUUACGCCCAAUAAUUCCGAUUAAUGCUUGCACCCUCCGUAUUACCGCGGCUGCUGGCAC